rnacentral:rRNA from 1 species
GACAGAGGGUGCAAACGUUGCUCGGAAUUACUGGGCGUAAAGCGCGUGUAGGCGGAUCGGAAAGUCGGGUGUGAAAUCCCUGGGCUCAACCCAGGAACUGCAUCCGAAACUUCCAGUCUUGAGUGACGGAGAGGGAGGUGGAAUUCCCGGUGUAGAGGUGAAAUUCGUAGAUAUCGGGAGGAACACCAGUGGCGAAGGCGGCCUCC